rnacentral:rRNA from 1 species
UACGAAGGGGGCUAGCGUUGCUCGGAAUGACUGGGCGUAAAGGGCGCGUAGGCGGAUGGCACAGUCAGAUGUGAAAUUCCCGGGCUUAACCUGGGGGCUGCAUUUGAUACGUGUGAUCUAGAGUGAGGAAGAGGGUCGUGGAAUUCCCAGUGUAGAGGUGAAAUUCGUAGAUAUUGGGAAGAACACCGGUGGCGAAGGCGGCGACCUGGUCCUUGACUGACGCUGGGGCGCGAAAGCGUGGGGAGCAAACAGG